CUGCUUCGUCGUGCGUCUCUGCUAGCGGUGCUAUGCUUAUGCCUCGCAACGACGCCCUCGACACGACCAAGACCGGCCCUCGGGCUCUCCUCUCUAGCAGAGACCGUCAUCAGCGACCCGGCGACGAGGAUCACGACUUGGACACACGGCUUCGCGGACCACACGAAGAAGAAGGGAGGCUACGUUCGAGCGCAGGAUGCGUGCCGAGAGGCUGCAGGCUCGAAGGACGUCGAUACGGACGAUCGAGGCGAUCCUUGUCCCCUCGUGCCCUCCUUCGUGCUGGACGAUACGUGCUGGCGCAUCUGCGAGUAGUGCAUUCACGGUGACUAUACCGAAGCCUGCAUGCACCUCGUCCUCCUAUGCACAAUACAGCGUCUCUGCGUGCGACCGAGCUCACCAGAACCCGCCGGAUGGCCCGACCACGGGCGGUCUCGAGGAUUUAGCGCUUGGUCGCUCUCGUCGGGUCACUCGAGGGCAACUACAUCUGCUACUUGCCUGCAAGGGCGUCUUUCGAGGAUACGUCCUCUCGUUCACCCUGGAGCACGUAGCGGCAGAAAAAGGCGAGUCAGGAUUCGCGAAAUGGAGGAUGGUGUCUCAGUUCGCACGGCAGAUACCG
rnacentral:misc_RNA from 1 species